CCCUUGGAGUUGAUUCCUGGCUCAGGCCGAACGCUGCCGGCGUGCCUAACACGUGCAAGUCGAGCGAAUGAAGUUCCUUCGGGAACGGAUUUAGCGGCGGACGGGUGAGUAACACGUGGGCAACCUGCCUCAUAGAGGGGAAUAGCCUUCCGAAAGGGAGAUUAAUACCGCAUAAGAUUGUAGUACCGCAUGGUACAGCAAUUAAAGGAGCAAUCCGCUAUGAGAUGGGCCCGCGGCGCAUUAGCUAGUUGGUGAGGUAACGGCUCACCAAGGCGACGAUGCGUAGCCGACCUGAGAGGGUGAUCGGCCACAUUGGGACUGAGACACGGCCCAGACUCCUACGGGAGGCAGCAGUGGGGAAUAUUGCACAAUGGGGGAAACCCUGAUGCAGCAACGCCGCGUGAGUGAUGACGGCCUUCGGGUUGUAAACUUCUGUCCUCAGAGAAGAUAAUGACGGUAUCUGAGGAGGAAGCCCCGGCUAACUACGUGCCAGCAGCCGCGGUAAUACGUAGGGGGCGAGCGUUGUCCGGAAUUAUUGGGCGUAAAGGGUCCGUAGGCGGUUUCAUAAGUCUAAAGUUAAAGGCAUUGGCUCAACCAAUGUAUGCUUAAGAAACUAUGAAACUUGAGUGAUGGAGGGGAUAGUGGAAUUCCUAGUGUAGCGGUGAAAUGCGUAGAUAUUAGGAGGAAUACCAGUGGCGAAGGCGACUAUCUGGACAUCAACUGACGCUAAGGGACGAAAGCGUGGGGAGCAAACAGGAUUAGAUACCCUGGUAGUCCACACUGUAAACGAUGAUAACUCGCUGUCGGCGAUACACAGUCGGUGGCCAAGCGAAAGCAUUAAGUUAUCCACCUGGGGAGUACGACCGCAAGGUUGAAACUCAAAGGAAUUGACGGGGGCCCGCACAAGCGGAGGAACAUGUGGUUUAAUUCGAUGAUACGCGAGGAACCUUACCUGGGUUUAAAUGGGGAGUGACAGGCUUGGAAACAGGCCCUUCUUCGGACACUCUUCAAGGUGCUGCAUGGUUGUCGUCAGCUCGUGCCGUGAGGUGUCGGGUUAAGUCCCAUAACGAGCGCAACCCCUAUCGAUAGUUACCAGCACGUUACGGUGGGGACUCUAUCGAGACUGCCGGUGUAAACCGUGAGGAGGGUGGGGAUGACGUCAAAUCAGCACGGCCCUUACAUCCAGGGCUACACACGUGUUACAAUGGCCGGUACAAAGGGCAGCUACACAGCGAUGUGAUGCUAAUCUCCAAAUCCGGUCUCAGUUCGGAUCGAAGUCUGCAACCCGACUUCGUGAAGCUGGAUUCGCUAGUAAUCGCGCAUCAGCCAUGGCGCGGUGAAUACGUUCCCGGGCCUUGUACACACCGCCCGU
rnacentral:rRNA from 1 species